rnacentral:rRNA from 1 species
UACGAAGGGGGCUAGCGUUGCUCGGAAUUACUGGGCGUAAAGGGCGCGUAGGCGGAUCGUUAAGUUAGAGGUGAAAGCCCAGGGCUCAACCCUGGAAUUGCCUUUGAUACUGGCGAUCUUGAGUAUGGGAGAGGUAAGCGGAACUCCGAGUGUAGAGGUGAAAUUCGUAGAUAUUCGGAAGAACACCAGUGGCGAAGGCGGCUUACUGGCCCAUUACUGACGCUGAGGCUCGAAAGCGUGGGGAGCAAACAGG